CCGACCUUAGCUCAGUUGGUAGAGCGGAGGACUGUAGUAGGAGUAUUGAUCCUGAGUGCCAUCCUUAGGUCUGCCGGUUCGAAUCCGGCAGGUCGGA
rnacentral:tRNA from 1 species